AUUGAAUUAUUGAUGGAAUGGGACUGUAACAAAGAGGAAGAAUUAUUUCUGUCAGAAGAAAAUAUUUCACAGUCAGAUGAAGAUGAGAAAAUAAGUGUGCAAGCUUUGGAAGUAUCAUCACCAGCAAAAUCAAUUCCUAGUAGUUGCACGUCGCAAUCAAUUAAAGACAGUGAAGACGAUUAUCAGCCAGAAGGUAAAUCAUUGAAAACUGUUUAUAUAUCGUUGGAUAAAAAAUCAAAAUUGUAAAUUUUUGUUUAAAGAACAUCCAAAUUGGAGUUUAUGAACAAUCCAACAGUGGGGAGGUGUUGCACUUCAUUCGAAAAAAGAAUUAUGAAAAUGGAAAGAGCAAAUUGUUGCAAGUGAUAGCAUGAAAAUAUA
rnacentral:lncRNA from 1 species